rnacentral:rRNA from 1 species
AGAGUUUGAUCCUGGCUCAGGAUGAACGCUGGCGGCGUGCUUAACACAUGCAAGUCGAACGAACCUUCGGGUUAGUGGCGGACGGGUGAGUAACGCGUGAGAAUCUGCCCUCAGGAGGGGGAUAACGGCUGGAAACGGCCGCUAAUACCCCAUAUGCCGAGAGGUGAAAUGAAUUUCGCCUGAGGAUGAGCUCGCGUCUGAUUAGCUAGUUGGUGAGGUAAGGGCUCACCAAGGCAUCGAUCAGUAGCUGGUCUGAGAGGAUGAUCAGCCACACUGGGACUGAGACACGGCCCAGACUCCUACGGGAGGCAGCAGUGGGGAAUUUUCCGCAAUGGGCGAAAGCCUGACGGAGCAACGCCGCGUGAGGGAUGAAGGCCUCUGGGCUGUAAACCUCUUUUAUCAAGGAAGAAGAUCUGACGGUACUUGAUGAAUAAGCCACGGCUAAUUCCGUGCCAGCAGCCGCGGUAAUACGGGAGUGGCAAGCGUUAUCCGGAAUUAUUGGGCGUAAAGCGUCCGCAGGCGGUUUUGAAAGUCUGUUGUUAAAGCGUGGAGCUUAACUCCAUUUCAGCAAUGGAAACUACAAGACUAGAGUGUGGUAGGGGCAGAGGGAAUUCCCGGUGUAGCGGUGAAAUGCGUAGAUAUCGGGAAGAACACCAGUGGCGAAGGCGCUCUGCUGGGCCAUAACUGACGCUCAUGGACGAAAGCCAGGGGAGCGAAAGGGAUUAGAUACCCCUGUAGUCCUGGCCGUAAACGAUGAACACUAGGUGUCGGGGGAAUCGACCCCCUCGGUGUCGUAGCCAACGCGUUAAGUGUUCCGCCUGGGGAGUACGCACGCAAGUGUGAAACUCAAAGGAAUUGACGGGGGCCCGCACAAGCGGUGGAGUAUGUGGUUUAAUUCGAUGCAACGCGAAGAACCUUACCAGGGUUUGACAUCCUGCGAAUCCCUUGGAAACUUGGGAGUGCCUUCGGGAACGCAGUGACAGGUGGUGCAUGGCUGUCGUCAGCUCGUGUCGUGAGAUGUUGGGUUAAGUCCCGCAACGAGCGCAACCCACGUCUUUAGUUGCCAGCAUUUAGUUGGGCACUCUAGAGAGACCGCCGGUGAUAAACCGGAGGAAGGUGUGGAUGACGUCAAGUCAUCAUGCCCCUUACAUCCUGGGCUACACACGUACUACAAUGCUACGGACAAAGGGCAGCAAACUCGCGAGAGCUAGCAAAUCCCAUAAACCGUGGCUCAGUUCAGAUCGUAGGCUGCAACUCGCCUACGUGAAGGAGGAAUCGCUAGUAAUCGCAGGUCAGCAUACUGCGGUGAAUACGUUCCCGGGCCUUGUACACACCGCCCGUCACACCAUGGAAGUUGGCCACGCCCGAAGUCGUUACUCCAACCCGCAAGGGAGGAGGAUGCCGAAGGUGGGGCUGAUGACUGGGGUGAAGUCGUAACAAGGUAGCCGUACCGGAAGGUGCGGCUG